CCAUAUUUCAUCUUUCAAACAUAACCCUCAAAGACCGACCCCCAAUCCAAAAUCAUUUCCCCUCUGACCUCGCCGCCCUCCUUUCCCUUUUUCUCUCUUCCGUCUCUCAACCUAUAUCAUCCUAAUAAAUAAAAAAACCUUGCACCAAUUCGUGCAACGUCACAAAUCGACCAGAAAUCAUCCACUAUGCCUUCUGAAUCCGCGAAUCCCGCCGGUUGCUUCCCCAUUUCAUCGUUCAAAUUCAAACGCCUAAUAUCUGGAACCCUAGCUUAAACAUCAAAACUUUAAAUCAUUCAAAUCCUCUUAUGCUCCAUCAAAUCGGAGCAUGCAUGGAGAUUCCUUCAGAGAUUCAUCAUGAAAUUCUAUACCCAGAGGUCAACGCAGUGACAUCUGGGUUUUAGGAUUUGUCCAUUGGUUCAAAGCCUUCAAUAAUCGAUCCCUCCUCUCAGUUUUUGGGGGUCUUAUUCAAACUAAGAGAGUCUUCGUUUGGUUUGCUGCCCUAAAAACGGUGGUUCCAUAGCUGGUAGUGAUGAUCAGCGAUAGUGGUAUAUCCUCUUCCCAACAGACUUGGUGAGCCCUACUUCAU